CAGCAGCCGCGGUAAGACAGAGGAUGCAAGCGUUAUCCGGAAUGAUUGGGCGUAAAGCGUCUGUAGGUGGCUUUUCAAGUCCGCCUUCAAAUCCCAGGGCUCAACCAUGGAUAGGCGGUGGAAACUACCAAGCUGGAGUACGGUAGGGGCAAAGGGAAUUUCCGGUGGAGCGGUGAAAUGCAUUGAGAUCGGAAAGAACACCAACGGCGAAAGCACUCUGCUGGGCCGACACUGACACUGAGAGACGAAAGCUAGGGGAGCAAAUGGGAUUAGAUACCCCCGUAGUCCCUGUCUCUUAUAC
rnacentral:rRNA from 1 species